AUCUGUUUCUGUGGAUGUAACUUUUAAAAUUAAAAAAAAAAUUUUUUUUAGAUUCCACAUGUAAGUGAUACCAUGCAGUAUCUGUCUUUCUUUAUCUGGUUUAUUUCACUUAGCAUAAUGCUAUCAGGGGCCAUCUAUGUUGUUGCAAAUGACAGAAAUGACAGAAAUUCCUUCUUUCUCAUGGCUGAAUAAUUUUCUAUUGUGGAGAUAUCUAUAUCUAGAUAUAGAUGUAGAUAUAUAGACAUGUAUUUAGAUAUAUAUAUUUAAAUAUAAAUCUUCUUUCUCAAUUCAUCCAUUGAUAGACAGUUGUCCCUAUAUCUUGGCUAUUAUGAAUAAUGCUGAAAUGAACAUAGGAAUGCAGAUAUCUUUUCAAGAUCCUGUUUUUAUUUCCUUUGGAUAUAUACCCAGAAGUAGGAUUGUGGGAUCAUAAGGUAUUUUUAUUUUUGAUUUUUUGAUGCUCCUCCGUACUGUUUUCCGUAGUGGCUGCACCAAUUUACAUUCCCACUAACAGUGUGCAAGGGUUCCCUUUUUUCCACAUCCUCAUCCACACUUAUCUCUUGUAUUUUGAUGAGAGAAAUUCUAACAGGUGAGAAGUGAUAUCUCGUUGUGGUUUCAAUUUAUAUUUUCCUAAUGAUUAGUGAUGUUGAGUACCUCAUGUAUCUACUGGCUAUUUAUAUGUCUUUAGAAAAAUGCUUAUUCAGUUCUGCUAUUUUUUAAUUAGAUUGUUUUUUUGCUGCUGAGUUGCAGAAGUUCUUUAUAUAUUUUGGAUAUUAAUCCAUUAUGAGAUAAAUGAUCUGGAAAUAUUUUCUUCCAUUCUGUAGGUUGCCUUUUCAUUCUGUUGAUGGUUUUCUUUGCUGUGCAGAAGCUUUUACUUUGAUGUUGUCCCCCCUUGGGCAGUUUUGCCUUUGUUGCCAUUGCUAAUGGUGUCAAAUCCAAAAAAUAAUUGUCAAGUAUGACGUUAAGGAAUUUGCCCACUAUGUUUUCUUCUAGGAGUGUUGUGGUUUCAGGUCUUAGAUUCCAGUCUUCAUUAUGAAUUGGUUUCUGUGUAAAGUGUAAGAUAAGGACCCAAUUUCAUUAUUUUGUGUGUUGCUGUCCUGUUUUUCCAACACCAUUUAUUAAACAUACCAUCAUUUCCCUAUUGUAUAUUCUUACAUAGUUGGUAAUAGACUAAUGGCCAUAUACUUGUGAGUUUAUUUCUGGACUCUCUGUAUGUUCUACUGAUCUUCUAUCUGUUUUUAUGCUAUAUCACAGUGUUUUGAUUAUUAUAGCUUCAUAAUAUAAUUUGAGAUCAGGAAGCGUGAUAGCUUCAGCUCUGUUUUUUUUUCUCAGGAUUACUUUGCUAUUUAGGGUCUUUUGUAGUUCCAUAAGAAUUUUAGAAUUGUUUUCCCUGUCUUUUGUGUGUGUGUGUGUGUGUGUGUGUGUGAAAAUGCCAUUAAAAUUUUGAUAGAGAUUGAAUUGAAUCUGUUAGACUCUUUGGGGUAGUAUUUUAUCAAUAUUAAUUCUUCCAAUCCAAGAGAAUAAAAUAUUUUUCCAUUUAUUUAUGUCUUCUUUAAUUUCUUUCAUCACUAUCUUACAGGGUUCAGAAAACAUAACUGUCAGCUCCUUGGUUAAGUGUACUCCUAGGUAUUUAAUGAUUUUUUAUGCUGUGGUAAAUGGAAUUAUUAUUUUUUUAUUUCUCUAAUAGCUCAUUGUUAGUGUGUAGGAAUGCAAUUGAUUUUUGUAUGUUGAUUUUAUAUCUUGCAACUUUACUGAAUUUUUUUUAUUAGUUCUAACACCUUUCUGGUGAAGACAUUGAGAUUUUCUGUACGUAAUAUCAUGCCAUUUACAAAUAGAGAUAGUUUUGCCUCCUUCCACUCUCCCCCAGUUUGGAUGCCUUUUAUUUCUUGAUCUUUCCGAAUUGCUCUGGCUACGUUAAAUGAAGUGGUGAAAGUGGGCAGCCUUGUUUUGUUUCUGAUCUUAGAGGAAAAGUUUUCAGUUUCCAACCAUUAACUAUGAUGUUAACUGUGAGCUUAUCAUACAUGGCCUUUAUUAUGUUUACGUUUUCUAUUUCUUCAUGAUUCACUCUUGGUAGGCUUGUAUUUUCAGGAAUUUAUCCAUUUCCUCUAGAUUGUCCAUUUUGUUGGCAUACAAUUAUUCAUAGUGGAUUCUUGCAAUCUUUUGUAUUUGCCUGGUAUCACUUGUAACAAUAUUUCCUCUUUCAUUUGUAAUUUUAUUUACUUGAGUCCUGUCUCUUUUUUUUCUAGGUAAGUCUAGUUAGACUUACCAAGUAUGUACAAGCUCCUUCUAGGGAGAUAUUGGUUACCUGGAGUAAGCUAGAGGGAGGAUAUGGAGAUGGCAUUCUCAGCUUUUAAAAUCUACAAAUAGGUCUCUUUGGGGGAAAGACUGGGGCAUAGGGAUUUUUUUCCUCUUCCUUUGAGCUGAUCCCUGGGGAAACAGCCACAGCAAGUCCUGGUAAGACUAAUGUUAUAAUCUUGUAGGUUUUAUGGACAUAAGUCCUGUUGGCUUUCAGAGCUAAGUGUUUUGGUUGCCCACCCCUCAGGUAAAAGUCUUAAAAUUUGGGGUGCUAGAUAUGGUAUGGAAACCUUUCACUUAUCAAGAAGAAACUGAGAGUUGUUAGUUUCCUUAUGAUUUUUUGUUGCUGUGCUAGGAGUAAGUUUUAUGCCAAGAGUGUAUUUGUUUUUUCCUGUUUCUAUGUGGUUAUCUUUUCAUUAACAUGAUGUAUAGGAAUUGCUCAGCUAGUUUUCAGAUUUUUUUCAGAAGGAAUUGCUGUAAGUGCAGCUGAAGAUUUGGUGUGUCUGGAAGGAAAUGGCUUCAGGAGCCUACUAAAUCACUAUUAUAGAUUGAAAUGCAAUAUGCUCCCCCCCACCUUUUUUUAAGUGGACAAAAGGAUCAGAUUACUCCUGAGAAUGUCCUACCUGUGGCUGUUUGGUAAGUGCUGAGGAGUUAAAGAAACCUAAGACAGAGAGACACCACCCUCAAGAUGUGUGUUACUUAAUACACACAUAGUCUAGUAUUUAGAAUCAAUAAUUAAUAUCACAAAGACCAUGUAACUGAGUGUUAGAUGUGUAUACACCUCAGUACUGUGGAAAAGUCAUAGGAGAAAGAAAUUAAACUGUAGGAAAACUUCAGAGAUGAGAUAAUUAAACUGGGUUUUGGAGGACUGAUCAAAUUCAUCAAGACAAAGGGGAGAAGAAAAAGCAAUAUGACAUAAAAUAAUGAGUGACAUAGAGAAGCAUUUUUGCAUUUUCAUGCAUGGAGCUGACUGUUUCAGAGGACAUUCUCUACCAGAUAUAACUCCCUGAAAAAAGGGGAUUGCUAUAUCAGGCUAUGGAUACUCAUUAAAAUCCUUAUGCAUGUAUAUUUGGUAUUUAUUGCUGCGUGUUGUCUGAAAAUCUACUUACUGAUGAGC
rnacentral:lncRNA from 1 species